rnacentral:lncRNA from 1 species
AUAAGACUGUGCUUUUAUUUAAAAACAGGAAUUCAACUAAAGUUACCAGAUAGACCAUUUUUCUCUUAUAACCAGGAGCAGUCUCUUGGGACCACACAGGAUUUCUUCCACAGCCUCCCAUUCUUUGACCCUCCACUUCUGCCAGAGAAGCCACACCACUUCUCAGAAGAUCCAGAAUAUAAGGUGACCAAAGCUCAGAAUGGACACCCAUGGUCUUAAGGCAAGGCCCUGGUCCUAGGAGCCCAACACCCAGCAGAGAGGGUUCUAGUAUACCACUGCAGGAAGUGACUACCAAAGAAUAGAAGCCUGCAGAAGAAAUCCUAUGUGACUCCAAGAGACUGGUCCUAUUUAGACUAGAGCUGCUGAUUUGUAUAAGGCUAUUAGAGUUCCUGUUUUUAAACCUGGGUAUAGCCAUUGGAAAGUAAGUCACCAUCCAAACCUCCCCCCAUGCUGCUCUCCCCUAAACCCUGGGGUGCAAUGAAGGUCUGGAGAGAACAGGGAUGGGGUCACGGGAACCACUUCUGGAGAAAUCAAGGGCACAGC